ACAUAGUUUUGGGGGUUACAAAAGGAAUAUUUAUAUUUGAAUGACUUUGGAGAUGUUUCUGAGUCCUUUAGUGUUUCUUCUAUGUCCAAGUCAAUUAGAAAAUUUUGUCUUGUUUUUCAUUGAAAAAAUAAUACAUGAACAUGUCUAUUAAAAACUCAGUUGUGGGCGCCUGGGUGGCUCAGUAAGUUAAGCUUCCAACUUCGGCUCAGGUCAUGAUCUUGAGGUUUGUGAGUUCAGUUGUGUCUCCCUCUCUCUCUCCCCCUCCCUGGUUCAUGCUGUGUCUCACUUUCUCAAAAGUAAAUAAACAUUAAUU